UCAGACGAUGCGUCAUGCAUAUCAAUAAGCGGAGGAAAAGAAACUAACAAGGAUUCCCCUAGUAACGGCGAGUGAAGCGGGAAGAGCUCAAAUUUGAAAUCUUAAAGGGUUUCCCUUUACGAAUUGUAGUUUAAAGAAGUGUUUUCUGUUGAGGUUUUGGUAAAAGUUCUUUGGAAUAGGACAUCAUAGAGGGUGAGAAUCCCGUAUUUGACCUUUACUUUCAACUUUGUGAUACACUUUCAAUAGAGUCGGAUUGUUUGGGAAUGCAGUCCAAAAUGGGUGGUAAAUUUCAUCUAAAGCUAAAUAUUGGCGAGAGACCGAUAGCGAACAAGUACCGUGAGGGAAAGAUGAAAAGAACUUUGAAAAGAGAGUUAAACAGUACGUGAAAUUGUCAAAAGGGAAGCGUUUGACACCAGUGUUGUUUUUCUGAAAAUCAAUUAAAGAACUGUUUAUGCUAAGCUGUUUAGACUUUAUCAGCUAUCUGUUUAGUUUUGAGCUUUUCUUUAAUGCACUUUUCAGUUAACAAGUCAACAUCAAUUUCUUUUGCUGUAAAAAAGCUUGAGGAAGGUGGCUUGAGAUUCGUCUUAAGUGUUUAUAGCCUCUUGCCUAUGCAGUCGGAGAGAUUGAGGUCUGCAGCGUAGAUCCUUCGGGGCUAAAUGCAUUUGUGCUAAGUUAUAGCAUUUUAUAGACAACUUGUUGACUAUGAUUUGUCUUGUAGCUUACUCGCUUAUGUUAUUUUACCUACGCUUAGGAUGUUGACACACGCGCGUGCUCG
rnacentral:rRNA from 1 species